UAAACAAGGUGGGCUAAAUAGGUAGGCUUCGAAAGAAACUGUUUAGUUUAAGUAGCUCGCAAAAUUUCAAAUUUCGGAGAUCGUAAAAGUGCUUGAAGAUCAUGAUCAUUCCAAUUCGUUGUUUUACGUGUGGGAAAGUAAUCGGAAACAAGUGGGAAACCUACCUUGGCUUACUUCAAGCAGAAUAUACUGAAGGAGAUGCCCUUGAUGCCUUGGGGUUGAAGAGAUACUGCUGUCGAAGAAUGCUUCUAUCACAUGUGGACUUGAUUGAAAAACUGUUAAAUUAUGCUCCCCUUGAAAAAUAAUCUGUUCUAUGGUGUUGUUUCGUUGUAAGUCUGGCUGGAAGUUGUGAUGAUCAAUGACAGCAGAAAGGGAGUUUUUCAGAAGGGCAGUCCAUUUAUCAAGAUACUGGCUCUUGCUCUAAGUAGCUCUGGAAUUCAUCAUGUAGUAUUUUGUUAAUAGUUUAAUUCUCGACUGCUGAAAUUUCUAAACUCAACCAAUCACAAAGUAGAGAACCAUGUUUGUAAUUUAUCAGCAUAGUCUGACUUUCUUAACUCUUUACAUGACAAAAACCAACUCAACAUUGUAAGAAAGAUCAAUACACUGCAAAUAAAUAGUAAAGUUGCAUUUCCUAUACAGAAAUAUUU